GGGUAGGGGCCCUGUGGGGAAGGGGAGGGCCUAGGGACUCCGGGGGGCCAGACGGGGUGCACCUGCUGCAGCCGGACACUAGGGAUCUGAAAAUCCAUCAAGAUGGAAACCUUCCCCGAGGUUAGAGGACCGGGAUCCACUACUUUUCAGUCUUCUGAGAAUCCUUCAAGCCUCAGUGCCUGGAUGCCUGGACUUCGGACUUCGAGCUCCUAAGCAGAAAAAGGAGUCUUUUUUUUUUUUUAAACUUUUCUCUCUUCCAUUUCAAGGCUGAGAACAUACGACUUUGAAGGCCACUAUCUACGGAUACGCGCUUCUCCAAACCUUGGAACCCGAGGUCUAGCCUUGGAACAAGUCGCUGCCGCCUCACUGCCUCUUCUCGCCUGGAAAAGUCCCAGCGCCGUGGGAUACUGCAGGGCACAGUGCUAGGUCCUGGGCUCCUUUUGCCAUGGUCCCCAUCACUGUCAGGUUCUUGAGAUUUCAGACUUUGGGUAUGGAAACCAGCUGACCGGUUUUCUUGGCGAGGUGAAUCGGAAACCUGUGGAGACAUUUCUCAAUCGUGAUUCAUCUACGUGCCGAGGUAAAGCACUGGGCUUUGGCACCUCAGCCCCUGGGCCCCAGGGGUCAGCAGUGGAACCGAUUGGACAUCUCAGAAGUACGUGUGUGUGUGUGUGUGUGUGUGUGUGUGUGUGUGUGUGUGUGUGUGUCCCUAGCCCUUGACAGAUACCCACCUUCUGUAAGUCCCUUCUAAAAAGUCCACAAGCUCUGCUGGCUGUAGUAGGAAUGACCCUCAGCUGGACUUUGGGAACUAACAUGGACGGUAGAAGAAGCUAACAGGAAGCCUGGGGGGAAAUUAGUUUGAAUUUUGCCUGGUCCAUUGGGGCCACUUGUGUUGGUGCUCAGCACACCUGGUGUGAAAGAACCCAACUUCACUGCUGAGAAUAGAGGACAGCACCCCGCGGGAACUGGACACUGUCUCUCAGCUACACAGACCAGGCACAAGCUGUAUGUGGACAGUGGAGGCAGGAGGGACCAGAGAUGAAGGCUAGCCUCAGCUACAUGGUAAAUACUGACAAAAUUUCCCAGAAAGAGGCUGCACUUCAAACGGAACCUUCUGCAACGCUGAUUAACUGACUGUAAUAACCAAUGGUGGUGAAGAGGUUGGAAUGUUGCAAGUUCAGAGUGUAAUUACCUCAGGCCAUCUUCAGUCCUUCUUCAUAGACCUGGCAGCUCUGUGACCUGGAGGUGAAACACUCGGAAUGAACAAACGGAGUGAGUGGGGCACCAGUUUCCCUUGGGAACGCAUUUGCUAGCUUCCACCAGCCCCCACUGCAAUUGUCACCAGUACCGCGGCCCAGAGCAGGGCUUUUCUGUGUCGCUAUAGCAGCCUCCCCAUGUUUCCACCAAGG
rnacentral:lncRNA from 1 species